rnacentral:rRNA from 1 species
UCCAGACUCCUACGGGAGGCAGCAGUGGGGAAUAUUGCACAAUGGGCGAAAGCCUGAUGCAGCAACGCCGCGUGAAGGAAGAAGGCCUUCGGGUCGUAAACUUCUGUCCUUGGGGAAGAAGAACUGACGGUACCCAAGGAGGAAGCCCCGGCUAACUACGUGCCAGCAGCCGCGGUAAUACGUAGGGGGCAAGCGUUAUCCGGAAUUACUGGGUGUAAAGGGAGAGUAGGCGGCAAGGUAAGCGAUAUGUGAAAGCCUUAAGCUUAACUUAAGGAUGGCAUAACGAACUAUCUAGCUAGAGUACAGGAGAGGAAAGCGGAAUUCCUAGUGUAGCGGUGAAAUGCGUAGAUAUUAGGAAGAACACCAGUGGCGAAGGCGGCUUUCUGGACUGAAACUGACGCUGAGGCUCGAAAGCGUGGGGAGCGAACAGGAUUAGAUACCCCUGUAU